CAGGCAGUGGAGCGUUUUGGGGUGGGGUGACUGCGUACCUUUUGUAUAAUGGGUCAGCGACUUAUAUUCUGUAGCAAGGUUAACCGUAUAGGGGAGCCGCAGGGAAACCGAGUCUUAACUGGGCGUUAAGUUGCAGGGUAUAGACCCGAAACCCGGUGAUCUAGCCAUGGGCAGGUUGAAGGUUGGGUAACACUAACUGGAGGACCGAACCGACUAAUGUUGAAAAAUUAGCGGAUGACUUGUGGCUGGGGGUGAAAGGCCAAUCAAACCGGGAGAUAGCUGGUUCUCCCCGAAAGCUAUUUAGGUAGCGCCUCGUGAACUCAUCUUCGGGGGUAGAGCACUGUUUCGGCUAGGGGGUCAUCCCGACUUACCAACCCGAUGCAAACUACGAAUACCGAAGAAUGUUAUCACGGGAGACACACGGCGGGUGCUAACGUCCGUCGUGAAGAGGGAAACAACCCAGACCGCCAGCUAAGGUCCCAAAGUCAUGGUUAAGUGGGAAACGAUGUGGGAAGGCCCAGACAGCCAGGAUGUUGGCUUAGAAGCAGCCAUCAUUUAAAGAAAGCGUAAUAGCUCACUGGUCGAGUCGGCCUGCGCGGAAGAUGUAACGGGGCUAAACCAUGCACCGAAGCUGCGGCAGCGACACUAUGUGUUGUUGGGUAGGGGAGCGUUCUGUAAGCCGUUGAAGGUGGCCUGUGAGGGUUGCUGGAGGUAUCAGAAGUGCGAAUGCUGACAUAAGUAACGAUAAUGCGGGUGAAAAACCCGCACGCCGGAAGACCAAGGGUUCCUGUCCAACGUUAAUCGGGGCAGGGU
rnacentral:rRNA from 1 species